rnacentral:lncRNA from 1 species
CUUCUAAGUCCUCUAAGAUUCCUGCAGUGGUUUAUGUUUCCUGAAAUUGACCCUGGCUGACGCAGUAUCUGUUCCUGAAGUGAUUUUAGGAACUUCACUGCCAAAGAGCCGGAGAGAGAGCCCUGCUAUAGGGCAAUGCCGCCCAAGAUGAGUGGGAGCUGACAGGAGACUCAAACCUACAUCCCUGCCAAAGGCUGUGUGCUCUGAAGUUUAGGAGAAAAGAAAC